rnacentral:rRNA from 1 species
AUUGAACGCUGGCGGCAGGCCUAACACAUGCAAGUCGAGCGGAUGAGAGGAGCUUGCUCCUUGAUUUAGCGGCGGACGGGUGAGUAAUGCCUAGGAAUCUGCCUGGUGGUGGGGGAUAACGUUCCGAAAGGAACGCUAAUACCGCAUACGUCCUACGGGAGAAAGCGGGGGAUCUUCGGACCUCGCGCCAUUAGAUGAGCCUAGGUCGGAUUAGCUAGUUGGUGAGGUAAUGGCUCACCAAGGCGACGAUCCGUAACUGGUCUGAGAGGAUGAUCCGUCACACUGGAACUGAGACACGGUCCAGACUCCUACGGGAGGCAGCAGUGGGGAAUUUUGGACAAUGGGCGCAAGCCUGAUCCAGCCAUGCCGCGUGCGGGAAGAAGGCCUUCGGGUUGUAAACCGCUUUUGGCAGGAACGAAACGGCGCAAGCCAAUACCUUGCGCUAAUGACGGUACCUGCAGAAUAAGCACCGGCUAACUACGUGCCAGCAGCCGCCGUAAGAC